AAUGUCGUAACAAGGUCUCCGUUGGUGAACCAGCGGAGGGCAUCAUUGCUGGAACGCGCCCCAAGGCGCACCCAGAAAUCCCUUUUCGUGAACUUAUACCUUACUGUUGCCUCGGCGCUAGCUGGUCCUUCCGGGGCCCCUUCACCCUCGGUGUUUGAGACAGCCCGCCGGCGGCCAACCUAACUCUUGUUUUUAACACUGAAGCUCUGGAAUUGAACUAAAAUUGAACUCAAAAG
rnacentral:misc_RNA from 1 species